GCUUGGCAUUGUAGAAAUGUCAGCCCUGGGAGGGCCCUUGGAAUAGGGAAUAUCAGAGCUUGGAGGGGCCUGAGAACAGGGAAUGUCAGAGCUGGGAGGGGCCUGAGAACAGGGAAUGUCAGAGCUGGUUGGGACCUUGGAACAGGGAAGGUCAGAGCUGGGAGGGGCCUUAGAACAUGGGAUGUUAGAGCUGGGAUGCAUCUCAGAACAGAGCAUAUCAGAGCUGAGGAAAGGCCCUUAAAACAGGGAAUGUCAGAAUUGGGGAGGGGGGUGUGGCGUGGUAGUGGAAGUCUUAGGACAGACAAUAUCAGAGCUUGGAGGAAGCUUAGAUGUCAGAGCUGGAAUGGACCUCAGAACAGAGAAGGUACUUCAGAGAAUUGAAUGUCAGAGCUGAGAAGGUCAUAAAAAAACAAACAUUGAAUAUGAGAGGAAGAAAGAAAUAUGGAGCCAGGAGUAUGCCUCAGUGCUCGGGCGUGGUGACCCACUUCCAGGCAGCAUCAUGCCUUGUGCCAGCAUCACUGUUGAGGCUGCCAGUUACAAUGUGGACAAGAGCAACUGGAUUGAGGCCAUCCAGCAGAUGGUACUAACUUUCAGUUACUGUUCCCCUGAGCUCAACUGGAACCAGCGACCUGAAGGUAACUGACUGGCCAUCAUCCCUGACUCUUUCCGUUUUGCUUAUAACAUUGGGAACUCAGAAACUUUCUUUCCCCCCCAGGGAGUAUACUCAUCUUUCAACAGAAAGAUGGAGAGCCCAGGAACCCUGAUCCUGCAUUGCAGCUCUCCAAGUGCCAGACCCAAUGGACCUCACCAUUUUUCUUGGUGGUAUUUAGGCCUUGAAGUGCCACCUGUUACUUCUUACUGAGAGUUCGAGGUGCCUGGGCCUGUUUACCUCAUUAUUCCCCACGCCAGGUUUGUGAGGUAUCAUUAUACUCAUUUUAUAGCCAGAGAAACCAAGGCACACAGAAGUUGGCUCAGUGACCCACAAUUCUAGUGGUUUAUUGGAGAGUUGAAUAAACAAAUUGAGGUGGAGAGUCCA
rnacentral:lncRNA from 1 species